GCGGAAGAAACAGAUCUGCCUGUAUGCCUGGUAUGUGUUCAUUGAGGAAGAACCUACAACUGCUUGAGGGGGCAAUACUAAGGGAAAAGGCUGCUUCCUGCCUGAUGACUUGUAAAAAUCACCUGCACGGUGGCUUGGUCUGUUCAAGAGCUUCUGGAGGGAAGCAGUGACCUGUCCGUCCGGACUCCAGCCAUCCGGAGACUGGACGGAUCGCUGGGCAGAGGGCUGGUUCCCCUCCCUUCCCCACCCCCGGCCCCGGUGGACUCCGGCGAAGCGCUUCACUUUUGCCUGUCGCAAUUGUCGCGGUCAAGGCCACUUUUAGACGGGAGAGGGGAAAGUGGAGGAGCGCGGAAGGAAGUGAUCGGCCGCCCUCCGCAAGCUUUCGUCGCCGCCGUCGAAACUGGGCAGCUGAGCGCCUGGGGGAGCGCUUCCGCGGGGCGGCCUCUCCCGCGGCGCCGAGGGGGCGAAGCGGGUCGCCUGCGGAGGAGGGCGGGCCCGCGCCGUCGGUUUCCCCUGCUUGGCCGGCAGGCGGUCCAGCUCAGCGGCAGGGCGUCGGGCAUGGCGGAGGCUCCAGAAGAACACUCCAGUGCUUGUGAUGUGCUGAUUGUGCAUGGGAAAGACACUGGUGAAUGGUGCCAUUAUCUGCAGAGCCUCUUCCACCCAUGCCAAGAAGUCCAGAGCUAUCUAGUGGAGAAUGGAACUGCCGUUUCCACUGGGGACUUGGACCUCUUUAAGAGCAGCAAGUGUAUCAUUGUUUUACUGUCACCUGAACUGGUGGAGAACUUCUAUAUCCCAGCUGUCCUUCAGAGUCUGCAGGAUGUUCUUCAACCACCACACAAAGUGGUGAAGUUUUUCUGUGGUGUCUCAGAAACAGAGACUUAUGAAAAGUUCUUCAAAGACUGGCCUCAGUGGGAACAGCUCACUUAUGACGAUGAUUCAGAUGCAUAUGUCACAGCUGUCAUGAAGGCGAUUUCAGAAAGAGAUUCUGCUUGUGAUUCAGUGACUGCCAAGGUGGACGAUGACAGAAACUCACAUGGUUCUUGUGAUAUUACAAUGACCCAGCAGGACGGGAACAGACUGGAAAACCUAAUUGCACUGCAGCCAGAUCGCAUAUGCUGUGGGGUGCAAACAAUGGUUUACUUCAUCUUAAAAUGUAAGUUGGAUAGCCAAGUAAAAUUGGAAGUAGAAUUUUGUCCUGAGAGGUCUCAGUCAAUGCGAGUACCAGCCAGGAUGGAGAAUGAAUAUACAGUCUCAGUUUGCACACCUGAUUUAUCUCCUGGAAUUAUAUGUGUGCGAUUGUUUUCUGGUGAUUUAAUGAUAGCUGAAACAAACAUCACCUAUUACACUACUAUGGAAGAAAUUAGCAACUUGCUGACUUCUGCAGCAAAUCCAGUGGAAUUCAUGUGUCAGGCCUUUAAGAUAGUACCUUACAACACAGAAACUCUCGACAAAAUUCUGACAGAGUCGUUGAAAAAGAACCUCCCUGCAAGUGGUUUACACCUCUUGGGCAUCAACCAGCUGGAAGAAGAAAACAUUACAAGCCAGAGGGAUGAAGAGCUGCCAACUCUUAUGCAUUUUGCUGCAAAAUAUGGGUUGAAGAAUCUCACUGCCCUUUUGCUGACAUGUCCUGGAGCCCUGCAGGCCUACAGCGUUGCCAACAAAUAUGGCCACUAUCCUAACAACAUUGCAGAGAAGCACGGCUUCAAAGAUCUCCGGCAAUUUAUUGAUGAAUAUGUGGAGACUGCAGACAUGCUGAAAAGUCACAUAAAAGAGGAGCUGAUGCAGGGUAAUGAAGAUGAUUCUGUUUAUGAGUCCAUGGCUCACCUUUCUACUGACCUGCUGAUGAAAUGUUCACUGAACCCAGGCUGUGAUGAAGAGCUCUAUGAAUCCAUGGCUGGCUUGGCUCCCGGUGCCCCAGAGGACUUGUAUGUAGAAAUGCUUCAGUCAGAUGCCAGCAGCCCCUUUUCACAGACGAAGACUUACAUGAUGCACAGGUUCUUAUCAGGUGUUAGCACAGGUGUGCCAGAACUCAAAGAGGAUAUAUACCAUCAAUGUGACAAAGAAGAAGUGUACCACACUGUGGAGCAGGACAACUUCCCUCAGGAAUUGGUCAAUAGGCCUCCUGUUCCUGUCCCAAGACCUGAUCCCUCCUCCAAGCCGCAAGACAAAGAGUCAUACAUUUAUAAAGUAUUUUCAGGAAAAGAUCAAGAGAGAUCUGGAAAUCUCUAUGUCUCUGCAAGAAACAUUAGGAAAGAGCCAGCAGUUACAGCUUCUAUCCAGUCUCAAGCAAGUAUAUAUGACCCAUUUGCUGGGAUGAAAACCCCUGGCCAAAGGCAGCUGAUCACUUUACAGGAGCAAGUGAAACUGGGGAUGCUUACAGUAGAUGAAGCUGUUUUGUGCUUUAAGGAGUGGCAACUAAACCAGAAAAGGAGAUCAGACUCUUUUCACUUUCAGCAGGAAAACCUGAAAAGACUCCGUGAAAGCAUCACUCGACGACAAAUGGAAAAGCAAAAGGCCGGCAAGAAUCCAGUCUUAGAAAUCACUGUGCCUGUUGGACAUUCCCAGAAUGUUGCCAAGAAACCAGAAUGUGGCAUAUAUGAAUUUAGUCCCCGGAAAAAUAUCUUCCCACCAAGUAAAGAGAUCAGGCGAGGAGACUGGAAAACAGAGAGCGCAUCAAGCACCACAAGUAGUUCAAGUACGCGUUCCAGCACACGGAGUAUACUUAGUCUCAGCAGUGGGAUAGAUGAAGACAAUGAGGAUAAUGAGACACCAGAAAUGAAGAGAAAUUUCAGCCCUGGAACCCAGCAAGUAGACAGUCAACCUACCUUGCCACCUGGAAGACCCCCUAGAAUACCUCCUCGAGUUGCUAGCAGGCCUCUGAGUGACAGCUUCCAUCCGCCUCCACCUAUACCACCAAGAGGUCGCAAAAUGGCACGCUAAAACUUGGGGAUAAUACAAACUUGAAUGAGGGAGUGUACGUUUUUAUUGUUAAGAUUCAUUCUUCAGUAGAAGUGACAGAAGCCUCUUCAGCAUAAGUUUUUUCCUCACUCAAAUGGAUAAUUUUGGCAUAGGAUACUUUUUAAACUUAAGUGAAGGUUGAAAGGACAAGAAGUUGGGAGUCUUCCAACAGACAAGGCCUUUUCGAAGAAAUGCAGUUGUUACAUAUACGAUUUUCCAUCACUGACAUACGAAUGGAGUAGUCUCUGGCUUUGAUGAGGAAAUGUGUCCUGCAGGUUGAAAAAGAUCCCCCCGGUCCUGGUCUGGGCACCUUAUUGGAUAGACAGUUUGAAAGAACUAUGCCAUCCCAUCACCCUAUCUGAAAAUUCAACAUACUGGUUUUAAGCAGGGAGGUUGAGGAUGUAGUGAUUCAGUAGUGCAGAAAAAUGUUCUGCAGAGGCUUGGAACCAUUAAAACUAUUUGUGAUUAUGAAUUCUUCAGCCUUGAUUCACCAACUGAAUUUUGUGGUCACUUACUAGAGCAGAAGUAUUGCAGCGGAUCAGUAGUACAUCUUACUUAAAAUAAAGGCACUAUCCUUUGUUGGACCAUU